rnacentral:rRNA from 1 species
UACGUAGGGGGCAAGCGUUGUCCGGAUUUAUUGGGCGUAAAGAGCGUGUAGGCGGCCAGACAGGUCCGUUGUGAAAACUGGAGGCUUAACCUUCAGACGUCGAUGGAAACCGUCUGGCUAGAGUCCGGAAGAGGAGAGUGGAAUUCCUGGUGUAGCGGUGAAAUGCGUAGAUAUUGGGAGGAACACCAGUGGCGAAGGCGGCUACCUGGACCGGAACUGACGCUGAGGCGCGAAAAGCGUGGGUAGCAAACAGG